rnacentral:misc_RNA from 1 species
GAUGAAGAACGCAGCGAAAUGCGAUAACUAAUGUGAAUUGCAGAAUUCCGUGAAUCAUCGAGUCUUUGAACGCACAUUGCGCCCCCUGGUAUUCCGGGGGGCAUGCCUGUCCGAGCGUCAUUGCUGCCCAUCAAGCACGGCUUGUGUGUUGGGUCCUCGUCCCCCCCGGGGGACGUGCCCGAAAGGCAGCGGCGGCACCGCGUCCGGUCCUCGAGCGUAUGGGGCUUUGUCACCCGCUCUGCAGGCCCGGCCGGCGCUGGCCGACGCGAAAGCAACCAUUUUUUCUCCAGGUUGACCUCGGAUCAGGUAGGGAUACCCGCUGAACUUAAGCAUAUCAAUAAGCUGAGGA